rnacentral:rRNA from 1 species
AGAGUUUGAUCAUGGCUCAGAUUGAACGCUGGCGGCAGGCCUAACACAUGCAAGUCGAGCGGUAGCACAGAGAGCUUGCUCUCGGGUGACGAGCGGCGGACGGGUGAGUAAUGUCUGGGAAACUGCCUGAUGGAGGGGGAUAACUACUGGAAACGGUAGCUAAUACCGCAUAACGUCGCAAGACCAAAGUGGGGGACCUUCGGGCCUCAUGCCAUCAGAUGUGCCCAGAUGGGAUUAGCUAGUAGGUGGGGUAACGGCUCACCUAGGCGACGAUCCCUAGCUGGUCUGAGAGGAUGACCAGCCACACUGGAACUGAGACACGGUCCAGACUCCUACGGGAGGCAGCAGUGGGGAAUAUUGCACAAUGGGCGCAAGCCUGAUGCAGCCAUGCCGCGUGUGUGAAGAAGGCCUUCGGGUUGUAAAGCACUUUCAGCGGGGAGGAAGGCGNCGAUUGACGUUACCCGCAGAAGAAGCACCGGCUAACUCCGUGCCAGCAGCCGCGGUAAUACGGAGGGUGCAAGCGUUAAUCGGAAUUACUGGGCGUAAAGCGCACGCAGGCGGUCUGUCAAGUCGGAUGUGAAAUCCCCGGGCUCAACCUGGGAACUGCAUUCGAAACUGGCAGGCUAGAGUCUUGUAGAGGGGGGUAGAAUUCCAGGUGUAGCGGUGAAAUGCGUAGAGAUCUGGAGGAAUACCGGUGGCGAAGGCGGCCCCCUGGACAAAGACUGACGCUCAGGUGCGAAAGCGUGGGGAGCAAACAGGAUUAGAUACCCUGGUAGUCCACGCCGUAAACGAUGUCGAUUUGGAGGUUGUGCCCUUGAGGCGUGGCUUCCGGAGCUAACGCGUUAAAUCGACCGCCUGGGGAGUACGGCCGCAAGGUUAAAACUCAAAUGAAUUGACGGGGGCCCGCACAAGCGGUGGAGCAUGUGGUUUAAUUCGAUGCAACGCGAAGAACCUUACCUGGUCUUGACAUCCACAGAACUUNNNNUUGGUGCCUUCGGGAACUGUGAGACAGGUGCUGCAUGGCUGUCGUCAGCUCGUGUUGUGAAAUGUUGGGUUAAGUCCCGCAACGAGCGCAACCCUUAUCCUUUGUUGCCAGCGGUCCGGCCGGGAACUCAAAGGAGACUGCCAGUGAUAAACUGGAGGAAGGUGGGGAUGACGUCAAGUCAUCAUGGCCCUUACGACCAGGGCUACACACGUGCUACAAUGGCAUAUACAAAGAGAAGCGACCUCGCGAGAGCAAGCGGACCUCAUAAAGUAUGUCGUAGUCCGGAUUGGAGUCUGCAACUCGACUCCAUGAAGUCGGAAUCGCUAGUAAUCGUAGAUCAGAAUGCUACGGUGAAUACGUUCCCGGGCCUUGUACACACCGCCCGUCACACCAUGGGAGUGGGUUGCAAAAGAAGUAGGUAGCUUAACCUUCGGGAGGGCGCUUACCACUUUGUGAUUCAUGACUGGGGUGAAGUCGUAACAAGGUAACCGUAGGGGAACCUGCGGUUGGAUCACCU